rnacentral:rRNA from 1 species
GGCUGCUCCUAGUACGAGAGGACCGGAGUGGACGCAUCACUGGUGUUCGGGUUGUCAUGCCAAUGGCACUGCCUGGUAGCUAAAUGCGGAAGAGAUAAGUGCUGAAAGCAUCUAAGCACGAAACUUGCCCCGAGAUGAGUUCUCCCUGACUCCUUGAGAGUCCUGAAGGAACGUUGAAGACGACGACGUUGAUAGGCCGGGUGUGUAAGCGCAGCGAUGCGUUGAGCUAACCGGUACUAAUGAACCGUGAGGCUUAACCUUACAACGCCGAAGCUGUU